CCCCUUGGAAGUCAUAUUUGCUAUGGUGUGCUUAUUAAUGCAAUGGGACAUCGACUGCCUUGUGUGAGCGUUAGGAGAAGGAGGCCGGCAAAGACACCAUCUAUGAACUUGCUCUCAGAUCAGCUGGGAGUUGCUUCUUUCAGUGUCCAGUCUUCCAUGCCCAGUGAAGAGGAAUUUAUUGUUCUCCAGGCAUUUAAUAAUCCUGCUCUAUUCAACCUUGGACAGACCACACCUGGAGUACUGGGUGCCACACUUUAAGAAGGAUGUUGACAAGGUGGAGCAUGUGCAGAGGAGGGCAGCCAAGAUGAUAAAGGGUGUGGAAACCAAGCCUUAUGGGGAACAGUUGAGGGGAUUGAGUAUAUUUAGCCUGGUAAGGAGGAGACUGAGAGGAGAUACAACAGCCAUCUUCAAAUAUUUAAAGGGUUGUCAGCAAGCUUGUUUUCUCCUGCUCCAGAGGCUAGGACCUGAACCAAUGGCUUCAAGUUACAAGAAAGAAGAUUCUGACUAAACCUCAGGAAGAACUUUCUGGCAGUGGAACAAAUUCCCAUGAAAGGUAGUGGAAUCUCCUUCCUUGUAGGCUUUUAAACAAAGGUUGCAUGACCACCAGUCAUGCAUUAUGUAGUUGAGAUUCCAGCGUGUCUGAAGUGUGAAUUCGACAGCCUCCAGUUCAGAAUCCUGACUUGCCUCAGGCACAAAAUCAUCAGGUGGCUAUGGGCAAGCCACCAUCUCUCAACUUCAGAUCUGCAAUAAGACUAUGAUACUGCUGUUAUUGAGCCAAAUGCAUGUGAAAAGCUUCUGAACACUCAAAAAGUGCUAUAUAACUUUUAAACAUUGCUGAUGGAUAUUCACCAAAGGCCAAAAGGUUUAUAGAAGUAACACUAGACUUUUGUCUUUAAAACACAGGGAGGGAUGACAGUUAUUGAUCAUUAAUGAAUAAAGUAUAGCUGAAGAUUUAUUAGGUCAUUACUCACCCAGGUGUUAGGAAUAAGGCUGAAGUCUGACUGAAUGGAUAUAAAUGUUGACAAUUCUUUGCUGGCAUACAAAUUUUAUGGACCAGCAAGGUGCAAUGGGCAAAUUACUGGGUUUCACUGUGAAACUCCUGCAUUUAAAUAGCUGCUUGUCCCUGGUAUGAGCUGGUAGACCAAGUCAAAUCAUUAUCUAAUCCACCCACUCAAAGGCUAACAUCAGCUUGCUUUAUGAUGUCAUAACUGCUAGUUACACCAUAGCAACCACUUUUUAACCCAGGGAGUGAGGAGCCUUCACAGAUGUGACAAAGCACACAGAGUUCACCGAACCAUCACUAGAAAUUUAAUUACCUUCUUUUGAUAACUGGAGUUUCAUAUUCUUACCUACUAGACAUUUUAAAAGUUUGCCUGAAGUCCUGCAAUAUAAAAUUUCAUACCCACUCAACUACCUCAAAUAAAUGAGCACAAAGGAUGGCUUGUCUGCCAAGAAAAGUUCAUAAAAUCUUGUUCCUGGGAGAGAAUGUUACCCUAUAACAUCAUUAAAACAUUUUGAAGUUAGGGGCUGUGAUACAUGAUUCUGAAAUGUCUUAAUUCCCCCUCCCCCCCAAAAAAGAAUGCACUGAUGUAGUUGCUUCCCUGGGCUCCUUUAGGAGGAAGGGAUAUAAACUAAAUACAGUGGUACCUCGGUUUAAGAACAGCCCUGUUUAUGAACUACUCGGUUUACGAAUUCCACAAAACCGGAAGUAGUGUCCCGGUUUGCAAACUUUACCUUGGUCUAAGAACGGAAUCCGAAUGGUGGAAGGGCACCAGCGGCAGGGGGCCUCAUUAGGGAAAGCGCGCCUCGGUUUAAGAACCGUUUUGGUUUAAGAACGGACUUCCAGAAUGGAUUAAGUUCAUAAACUGAGGCACCACUGUAAAUGAAACAAAAUGAAAUGAAAUGGUCUAGUGACACCUUGUUUUUGGACAGCUGACCCUAUUACACAGGUCUUUUUCAUUAAUAUUGUAAGCUACUCAUUCAGCUCAUGAGCUAAGCAUAUAUUUCAUAUUAUUCCUUUUGAAGAUUCCUAACCAGCAUAUUGGAUGAAUUACCUUCAAAAACUACAAGAAAACAACAACAAAGCCAUCAAACUACACGAAAACAAUACACUGUCCUCAGUCCUGUCACUUACAGAGGGAACCAGAGUGUGCCUUUUUUCACCUCUGUGGGCAGAGCUGAGCAUUCUUUCUAGCAAGUUCAGAAAGGAGCUAUGUUACAAACCUGUGUGACACAUCUUUGAAAUAUUUGCUGAUACCUUCUGAUAAAUAUCAGGCAUUCUCUCUCCAUCAAACAUUUUCUGAUGUACAAAAACAUCGCAGAAAAGCAAAGAUGAUCCUGGAGUCUGUCUUGCAGUUCAACAUUUGUACACUGCACCACUGAUGGUUGCUUUGUCACUGAAGGCCCAUUCUUUGAAGUGGGGAGGGGAAGCAUCGCUUUUACUUGCUGGACCUUGAGGAACAACUUUCAGAUAAUAAAUGGAUGAAAAGCAGGCUGAAACAGAUUGCUCCCAAGCAUUUGACUUGUUGAAUCUUAAGCAUCAAUUACUCACAUUGGCAGAAGCCUCACAAUUCAUCACAGCUCAAGCAGCAUCCUCCUUGAACUUCCACCGAAGCUCAUACAUAACAGCAGAGGGAGAAAUGGUUUUGCUGUGUGCAUGCUUUCUCCACUAACAUAGCAGUUUCAGAGGCAAGUUUUUGAUGAUGAUCACAGUGUGUUUCUUUUCCCAUUAGUGCUCUCAGAGUAUUGCCUUGAAGUUACAGCACCAGUUUGUUUUAAAAGCAGUGUGUAUUCACUAAAGUUGUUGCUCUUAGCUUCCAUAUUGUAAGUUCAUUCCAUGGCAGAAAGCUCCACUGGUGUCAAUGGGACUUAUUUCUACAGAAUCAGCCUACGCCAGAGAUUUCCUUUGCUACAGUGAUUUUCCUGUUAGCUUUCAUGGAGCAUACAAAUCUGUCUCUGAGACUGAAGUCAAUGAGAAAGACUGAUUAUGCUCAGUAUGUGUAAAAACAACAACAACCAAACUCCACAAAAUUGGACCAACUGCUUCAAAGAGGCACUUCCUAAUGCUGAAUUAUGGUACCUGAUGAAACUUAAUCCCUCUCUCUCUAUAUAUAUAUUUCAUCUCCUCUGCGCUUGCACAGGUUACUAUUGAGAAAGCGGUAAAUAUAACUAAAUCUGAAUCCAGACCAAGGUCAUGUCAUCCAUUGCAUGAGGAUAAGCAUGAAUACAACAAGCAUGUCCUUGCAACACCUGAAUUAUAUGGGUAGAUUCAUCAUGACACCAUAAUGGUAAAUCUUGGGUUCCUUCUGUUUUCAUGUGUGAAGUAACUAUCAGUGAGUGAGGCAUUGGGGGUUGGGGGUGUGAACCUACAUGUUCAGCUGAACUGCAGAUUUAUAAAAAUGUCUAGGUGGCACUGCAAACCAGGAAACAAUCAGAGAAAAUAAACAAACCAGUAUUUAAAGGGG